GAUGAAGAACGUAGCGAAAUGCGAUAAGUAAUGUGAAUUGCAGAAUUCAGUGAAUCAUCGAAUCUUUGAACGCAUCUUGCGCUCCUUGGUAUUCCUUGGAGCAUGCCUGUUUGAGUAUCAUGAGCAAAUCUCAAAGUCAAUUCCUUUUGUUAAUUCAAUUGGUUUUGCUUUGGACUUGGAGGUCUUGCAGAGUUUCACAGUCUGCUCCUCUUAAAUGCAUUAGCUGGAUCUCAGUAAUUAUGCUUGGUUCCACUCGGCGUGAUAAGUAUCACUCGCUGAGGACACUGUUAAAAAGGUGGCCAGGAAAAUACUGAUUGAACCGCUUCUAACGGUCUAUUAAGUUAGACAAUUACCCUUAAGUUUGAUCUCAAAUCAGGUAGGACUACCCGCUGAACUUAAGCAUAUCAAUAAGCGGAGGA
rnacentral:misc_RNA from 1 species